UGCCGUUGCGCCUGUCCUCUGAUCCCAAUCCCAACAGCAGCUUUGCUGUUGUGCUGGCAACAAAGCCCCUGCACCCCAAUUCCACCGGGUGCACCUUGAUCUUCCAGCCUCUGCCCUCUGCCUCAGCUGCCAAGCAUGGCUGCUCAUCUCAUCGUUCUUCUCCUCUUCAGUGUGCUCAAAGGAGUUCACAGCAUAACUACACUCAGUAAAGUAUCAGUGGAAGCUGGACAAUCUAUCUCCAUCCCAUGUUUCUAUGAGUCCCAAUACAUAAACCAUGUGAAGUACUUGUGUGAAGGAUAUUUAUGGGAGUC